rnacentral:rRNA from 1 species
AUGGGCAGACAAUACACUGGCUUUCCCACAAGCACAUUGCUCCUCCACCAUGCCCUUCCGUUAAUCUCCCUAAGCCCUAGUGGCGUUGCCAGCACAUCUCCGUUGAUAUGGACGACGACCCACUACCAAUCGCAACGACACAAGGCUGUAGAUCGGCAGCCGGUCGCUAAUAGGCUAUCAGAACUAGCAAGCAGUGUUCCAUCUCACAUUUUCGGCAUCUUCGUGGUUCCUUCUCCAAGUUUGCCUCCCAGGCAUCAAAUCGACGGGGCCAAUCCCCUGGUGAGAAGGCUUUGGAUUGCCGGGACCGCGUUCGCUUGCACCUUAGUUGGAUCUAUGUUUGCUUGCUAG